GCAUUCUUUUUGAACAGAUGCAAAAAAAAUAUGGAUGUGAGCUGAAGUCCUUGAAACGUUUGCUUAGCGGCUUUGCAGGCCGCUCCUAUUUGCAUGAGGUAACGAGGCCUUGUUUGAAAUGUGUUCUGCAAAAACUCAGUCCUGCUCUCCGCUUAAUGCAAAUUCCAACUGCACGUUUGGAGAAAAGAAAAAACUAAUACAAACCCUAGAAGACAAGCUCACUUCAUACUCUGCUUCUCAGGAAGCCCAACCUGGCUCACAGUGCUGCUGAACCACGGCCAAAGCUGAGGAACCUCCGCAGCAGAGCACAGAGCCAGUCAGGCUGUGCCCUGGGAAGGGUUUGGGCAGCAUCUGCACCUUGAUGGGGCUGGAGGGAAGCAGGAGGCUGGGCAGGAUGUGGCAGUGGAGCUGGAAUUGGAACCUGGGCAGGCUCCCUGCAGGCAAGGCACCACAGCUGCCAUGAGGAUGUGCAUCUGACCCGUCUGAAAACCUGCAAGUAUCUGCCAGGGUACCAGUUCUUUUGACGUUGACCUGAUUCAGCCCAGGCCAUGGGGCACCAACUGGUCAGAUGCCUGAAAGUGUUCUUGGUUCCACUGAGGCACCGUGCACCUGGAGCAGCACCCUGCUCUGCUUGCGGCUGCUCUGCUGCCCUAAAUAUCAGUGGAUCCCCAAAUCAAAAUGAACACCAUCA
rnacentral:lncRNA from 1 species